UGGCGGCUUGUCGCUCGUUAACUUCAUGGUUGCGAGAGGAAAGUCCGGGCAACACAGAGCAUCACAUUUCUUAACGGGAAGCUAUGGGUGACCGUAGGGUUCAGGUGACAGAGAAUAACCGCCGCGACCUCAUGCAUGGGGACUGCGGCAAGGGUGAAAAGGUGGGGUAAGAGCCCACCGGGCGAUGUGGUGACACAGCGCGCCGCACCACCUGUGAGUUGCAAGUUCAUGUAUACCGGCAUUUAAGGGCUGCUCGUCCAUUGUCGGGGGGUAGAACGCUAUACUGGCGCAGCAAUGCGUCGGACAGAUAAAUGACAAGCACCAGCCCGUAAGGGCAGGCACAAAACCCGGCUUAUAGCCAUACUG
rnacentral:RNase_P_RNA from 1 species